UGGGGAAUAUUGCACAAUGGGGGAAACCCUGAUGCAGCGACGCCGCGUGAGCGAAGAAGGUUUUCGAAUCGUAAAGCUCUGUCCUAUGAGAAGAUAAUGACGGUAUCAUAGGAGGAAGCCCCGGCUAAAUACGUGCCAGCAGCCGCGGUAAUACGUAUGGGGCGAGCGUUGUCCGGAAUUAUUGGGCGUAAAGGGUACGUAGGUGGUCUAUUAAGUCAGGUGUGAAAGCGUGAGGCUUAACCUCAUUAAGCACUUGAAACUGAUAGACUUGAGUGAAGGAGAGGAAAGUGGAAUUCCUAGUGUAGCGGUGAAAUGCGUAGAUAUUAGGAGGAAUACCGGUGGCGAAGGCGACUUUCUGGACUUUUACUGACGCUCAGGUACGAAAGCGUGGGGAGCAAACAGG
rnacentral:rRNA from 1 species